ACCCAGGUGAAAAAGUAGUAUACUUUAGUGUAUUACAAGUAUAAAUCAAUUAUACAAAAGUUAGUAUAAGUAUACUUUUACUUUUUGUGCUUAAUUUAAAGUAUACUUAACAUAUACUUUUAAAAAGUGUACUUCGCAAUAAAUGUCAUUAAAUUCAACUUUAACGUACUUAAAAAUAAGUAUACUAAUUCUGCAAUACUUAAAGCGGUAUUGCUUUGUACUUUUAAAAAGUAUACUUUAUUUUAAGUUUAUUUAAAUUGUACAUAAGUGUACUUAGAAAAAGUAUACUAAAUUGCAAAUACUUAUAGUGGUAAUUUAGUGUAUUUAUAAAAAGUGUACUUUAUUGUAAGUGUAUUGUAAUUUGUACCUUAGUGUACUUCUGAAAAGUACACUCAUUUUCAAGUAUUUUGGAAUUCACUAUUAAAAUACUUUUUUAAAGUGUAAUUUAAUUUCACUUCAUUAGAAGUGUAUUGAAGUAUACUUCCGUAAAGUUCACUUUAAUUUAAGUUAAUUUUAAGCUGUAUUUCAGUAUACUUAGCAAAAGUAUACUAAGUUUCAAAUACUUAAAGUGGUAUUUUAGUGUACUUCUGAAAAGUACACUUUGUUUCAAGUCCUUUGUAAUACACUAUUAAAAUGCUUUUUUAGAGUGUAAUUUAAUUUCACUUCAUUAGAAGUGUAUUUAAGUGUACUUCCAUGAAGUGCACUUUAAUGCAAAUACUUUUUAAGCUGUAUUUCAGUGUACUUAGAAAAAGUAUACUAAGUUGCACAUACUUAAAGUGGUACUUUAGUGUACUUCUGAAAAGUACACUUCAUUUCAAGUCCUUUGUAAUACACUAUUAAAAUGCUUUAUCAAAGUAUACUUAAAUUUCCCUUUAUUAGUAGUGUAUUUAAGUAUACUUCCUUACAGUUCACUUUAAUGCAAGUUAAUUUUAAGCUGUAUUUCAGUGCACUUAGAAAAAGUAUACUAAAUUGCAAAAACUUAUAGUUGUCAUUCAGUGUGAUUCUGAAAAGUACACUUAGUAAUACACUAUUAACAUGCUUCAUUUUUAGUAUACUUUAAUUUCACUUCAUUAGAAGUUUAUUUAAGUAUAUUCAUACAUCAUCACAACCAAAGUGUUGAAUUAAUCAAAAAAAUACAGAUAAAUAAUACUGAAAUGGCUACUUUUACUAGCUCCAACGACUAACUAUUAAAGAAAAUCCAAGGCUAUAACCAAAAUUUGAAAAUAGCAAGUUUAUAACGGCCAUCCAAUCAGUGUGCGGCUGCAAAUCGACGUCCAAUGAGAAUGUAGUAUUUAGGUCGCCAAUUGGUGGUUUACUCAAAUACACUUGGCGCGGACGGUUAGUGUUCCAUUUGAAAUUGAGCAGUGAGCACCUAAUAUCUCCGGGUCAAACAAUGACAGUGUUUGGUUUGUUUUAUUUCCAAGACGGCUCCGUUAGAGCAGAUAAUACAUCCGUCAUACGUGAUGCAUACAGAAAUAAAAAAAUAACGGUUAACUGCAGGGAAGACCUCGAGUCGGAGCAGGGCUGGAUAGAGGUAAUUUGGCCUACACAACGGCGACAACAAGAGGCGAAGCCUAUUGCAGCCAAAUUGCUUUUCUUUGGAGACACGGUGAGGGAGAAAUUCCCCAACACCAUGGUUAGUGAGAUCCGGGCCCUGCUGCGGAGGAAAUGCAAUAAUGAGGGCUACACCAAGGUUGCUCCUCAGUAGCUUUAUUAUAUAUGUUAUAUAUGUCAGAUGUUUUAAAGUUAGGUGUUAUUGAAUGUAUGUUUGUAUUAAUAUUUAAAUUAAAGUUUUGGUUUGUACAAUUUAAGUGUUUUUUGUCAUG